rnacentral:rRNA from 1 species
AGAGUUUGAUCCUGGCUCAGGACGAACGCUGGCGGCGUGCCUAACACAUGCAAGUCGAGCGGAGACAUGCGACGGAAGUGAAGUUUUCGGAUGGAACAGAAGAUGUAUGUUUUAGCGGCGGACGGGUGAGUAACGCGUGAACAAUCUGUCCUUCACAGGGGGAUAACACAGCGAAAGUUGUACUAAUACCGCAUGAGACCACAGUGCCGCAUGGUACAGGGGUCAAAGGAGCAAUCCGGUGAAGGGUGAGUUCGCGUCCGAUUAGAUAGUUGGUGAGGUAACGGCCCACCAAGUCGACGAUCGGUAGCCGACCUGAGAGGGUGAUCGGCCACAUUGGGACUGAGACACGGCCCAAACUCCUACGGGAGGCAGCAGUGGGGAAUAUUGGGCAAUGGGGGAAACCCUGACCCAGCAACGCCGCGUGAGGGAAGAAGGUUUUCGGAUCGUAAACCUCUGUCCUAGGUGAAGAGAAAGAGACGGUAGCCUAGGAGGAAGCCCCGGCUAACUACGUGCCAGCAGCCGCGGUAAUACGUAGGGGGCGAGCGUUGUCCGGAAUGAUUGGGCGUAAAGGGCGCGUAGGCGGCCCGGUAAGUCUGGAGUGAAAGUCCUGCUUUUAAGGUGGGAAUUGCUUUGGAUACUGUCGGGCUUGAGUGCAGGAGAGGUAAGUGGAAUUCCCAGUGUAGCGGUGAAAUGCGUAGAGAUUGGGAGGAACACCAGUGGCGAAGGCGACUUACUGGACUGUAACUGACGCUGAGGCGCGAAAGUGUGGGGAGCAAACAGGAUUAGAUACCCUGGUAGUCCACACUGUAAACGAUGAAUGCUAGGUGUAGGGGGUAUCGACCCCUUCUGUGCCGCAGUAAACACAAUAAGCAUUCCGCCUGGGGAGUACGGCCGCAAGGUUGAAACUCAAAGGAAUUGACGGGGGCCCGCACAAGCAGCGGAGCAUGUGGUUUAAUUCGAAGCAACGCGAAGAACCUUACCAGGGCUUGACAUCCUCUGACCGCUCUAGAGAUAGAGUUUCCCUUCGGGGCAGAGAGACAGGUGGUGCAUGGUUGUCGUCAGCUCGUGUCGUGAGAUGUUUGGUUAAGUCCAAUAACGAGCGCAACCCCUAUGGUCAGUUGCCAUCAUUUAGUUGGGCACUCUGGCAAGACUGCCGCGGACAACGCGGAGGAAGGAGGGGACGACGUCAAAUCAUCAUGCCCCUUAUGUCCUGGGCUACACACGUAAUACAAUGGCAACGACAGAGGGCAGCUAAGCCGCGAGGCCGAGCAAAUCCCCAAACGUUGUCCCAGUUCGGACUGCAGGCUGCAACCCGCCUGCACGAAGUCGGAAUUGCUAGUAAUGGCAGGUCAGCAUACUGCCGUGAAUACGUUCCCGGGCCUUGUACACACCGCCCGUCACACCAUGAGAGUCUGCAAUACCCGAAGUCAGUAGCCUAACCGCAAGGAGGGCGCUGCCGAAGGUAGGGCCGAUAAUUGGGGUGAAGUCGUAACAAGGUAACC